rnacentral:rRNA from 1 species
AUGGGAGGAACAAGUGUCAAUACUAUUUGGAGCAAGAUUUGGAAAUUAUCUUGUCCAGCAAAAGUGAAGAUCUUUAUUUGGCGUACCUUACAUGGAACCCUCCCAUGUCGUGUUACAUUUGCUAAUAGACAUAUGAAAGUUUCGCCCACCUGCCCAUCAUGUUCGAACGGGCAUGAAGAUACUAAACACUUAUUAUUUUUGUGUCAAAAGGCAAAAGAGGUGUGGGAGAAACUGGGAUUGCACGAAGCCAUUAAAAAAGCUUGCGUUGUCGAUCGUGCGGGAGAGGCAGUACUCGAAUUUCUACUUUUUAUGCCAGAACACGAGCUAUCUACAGUGGGCAUACAGAAUGUUCGCGAACUGAUCGCUAUAACAACCUGGUAUUUAUGGUGGGAAAGACGUUCGCUAGUCCAUCAUGGGAAGACCCAAGAUGCAUACCAAAUUUCGAUGGGAAUCCGUGCUAUAACAACAAACUAUGUUAUUGCCCAAUCCUCCAAGGCAACAAAUAGAAUAGAGGGAUGGACGAGACCCCCUCUAGGUUUUGUCAAAUUAAAUGUCGAUGCUUCUUUCGAUCAAGACAUGCUUAGAGGCACAGCGGGAGCUGUACUUAGAGAUGAUAAAGGAAGAUUUAUUGUUGGAGGGAAUUGGAAGAUGGAUUGGUGUGCAGAUGUCUUAACAGCGGAAGCUAUGGCACUACGUUUUGGCUUAUUACUUGCACAAAAGGCGGGAAGCAACCGACUUGUUGUUAACUCCGACAAUAUGGAAGUAAUUGACACGAUGAAGAAUGGAGGACAUAUAGCGGGAGCGGCGGCAGCUGUAUUUGAUGAUUGUUAUUUUAUGGCUUGUGAUUUUACGUUAGUUAGAUUUGAACAUUGUAAUAGAAAGGCAAAUAAAGUAGCUCAUGAAAUUGCCAAAGUAGCUAAAUUCUCUGAGACAAGGGAUUGGUUUGAGGAACCUUUGAACGAUAUUGUAAAUUUUCUUAUAGACGAUGUAACCAUUAUUACUAAUAAAAAGAGGAUGUUUUAUUUUCAAAAAAAAAGACCAGCUAGCCAAAAAGGCAAAAGAAGAAGCUCAGGAGAAAUUAUUAACAAAGGAAAGAGGAAGAGCAGGCCGUACCUUGCCGUAGCACCAACGCAGAUCCUGUGCGCGCGUAGCUCCUCUCGCUGCAAGCUCGCCGUGUUGACCGCCGGCUGGUGA